UUUUUAAGCAUUUUAAGCUACGAAGACUUUACAAAAAACGAGUUUAUGGUAUUCAGAAGGGGCUUUUUAGUCUGUUGGCAUUUUAGUGGGCAAGUGGGCAUAUCACCUCAUCAGCCAUAAAUACAAAAACUAUAAUCACCUCAGCAGCUUUUUAGUCUAAUUGAGUAAGAAACUAUAUACACGCUACUGGCUUUUCAAAACUGAGAAAGAAACAAAACUUCAAAAUCAGAUGAAUACAAACUGAGAAACGAAAAGACAAAAGAAACAAAAGACCAACAUACUUAAACCAACCAUAAACAUCAACAAUACUUAAAAUCUACCAUAAAUACAAAAACUAUAAUCACCUCAGCAGCUUUUUAGUCUAAUUGAGUAAACAUUAGAAAACCCAUUUUAACACUACACACUACUGGCUUUUCAAAAGUCCACCAGUCCACUUUUUAGUCAAAAUGAGUAACAUUAGAAAACCCAUUUUAACACUACACACUACUGGCUUUUCAAAAGAAACAUCAAGAAACCAGACUUAAAACCAAUAUGAAAUCAGAUGCUUAAAACCAACUUGAAAAAUAAACCAGACUUAAAAUCACCAACAUACAUAAAAACCAUACUUAAACCAUACAUAAAAACGAUCACCAGUUAAACCAAAUCAAAUCAUAAAGGCAUAAAAACAUAAGGCACCUCAGACCAAAACAUGAAAAAGACCACCAUACUUAAAAACCAGGCUUAAAACCAGAUGCUUCAAAUCAGAUGCUUCAUAAAUCAGUUAUACUUAGAAACCAACAAAUCAUACUCAAAUCAUGCUUAAACCAACAAAUCACCAACAAAUCAUACUCAAAUCAGAUGCAUACAAUAGAAACUAAACCAUACAAAAGAAACCAUCAACAUCAAACCAUUCUUAAAAUCCAUCAGAAACAUAAUUAAUUAAAGUUCUUAAUCCUUACAUCAUAAAAUCCAUCAUAAACAUACUUAAUCCUUACAUCAACAAAAUAUACUUAAACAAAAGUUCUUAAUUAAACAAAAUAUAAUUAACAUACUUAAAAAACAUACUUAAACAACCAUCCCGGCCAGCCCUCACCAAGCGACCCGCCUCAACGUCCAUGACGCAGUCGCUGGACCAGUUGCGAUUGCUCCACCAUCACUGCUUUGAGAUCAUCCCCGAGCAUCUCCACCAUCUUGUUCAGGGUAGCAGUCAACUGGGUGAGUUCCACCAUCUGCUCACGGAGGGUUGCUAGGUGACCAUUCAGGUUGCACAGAGAUUUCUCCACAUUCUCUGUAUAUAUGGGCUGUGUUACCGAGUUCGAGGCAGAGUGGUUGCUAUGAAAAAUAAAAAAAUGAUUACAUGCAUAGAUUAGUGAUUACAAAAAUGAAAGAAAACGAAAACGAAAAGAAAACGAAAACGAAAAGAAAACGAAAGUGAUUAAUUACCUUGAAGACGCCAUGGAGUUUCCAACGAGAGAUGAAGAGACGCUGAGAGGGUUUCUGUAUAGCUUGAGAGGUUUCUGAGAGAUUAAAAUGAAAAUGUUGGUGGAGAGGGUUAUAAAAAGCUGUAAAAAACGCUUAAGCUACCCCUGGUGCAUUCACCAAUAAAAAUUUGAUUGCACACGGCAUUUUUGGAACACACGGCUGCUUCAUUUUUUCAUUUUUGCAACGUAAAAAAUUAAAACACUGCAUUUGUAUUUUAUUUUUUGAUAAUAUUUAAAUACAUAAAUUAAACCCAAUUGGUACGUUUUUUAUAAUUUUACAAUCUCGAUUAAAAAAA
rnacentral:lncRNA from 1 species